AGCGAACGCUGGCGGCAUGCCUAACACAUGCAAGUCGCGCGGCCGGCAACGGCAGCGGCGGACGGGUGCGCAACGCGUAGGAACGUGUCCACGGGUGGGGGACAACCCCGGGAAACUGGGGCUAAUACCGCAUAUGGCCUGAGGGCCAAAGCCGUAAGGCGCCUGUGGAGCGGCCUGCGUCCGAUUAGCUUGUUGGUGGGGUAACGGCCUACCAAGGCGGCGAUCGGUAGCUGGUCUGAGAGGACGACCAGCCACACUGGGACUGAGACACGGCCCAGACUCCUACGGGAGGCAGCAGUGGGGAAUAUUGGACAAUGGGCGAAAGCCUGAUCCAGCAAUGCCGCGUGGGUGAAGAAGGUCUUCGGAUUGUAAAGCCCUUUCGGCGGGGACGAUGAUGACGGUACCCGCAGAAGAAGCCCCGGCUAACUUCGUGCCAGCCGCCGCAGUAAAA
rnacentral:rRNA from 1 species